GACGAACGCUGGCGGCGUGCUUAACACAUGCCAGUCGAACGGAAAGGCCCUGCUUUUGUGGGGUGCUCGAGUGGCUAACGGGUGAGUAACACGUGAGUAACCUGCCCUUGACUUUGGGAUAACUUCAGGAAACUGGGGCUAAUACCGGAUAGGAGCUCCUGCUGCAUGGUGGGGGUUGGAAAGUUUCGGCGGUUGGGGAUGGACUCGCGGCUUAUCAGCUUGUUGGUGGGGUAGUGGCUUACCAAGGCUUUGACGGGUAGCCGGCCUGAGAGGGUGACCGGCCACAUUGGGACUGAGAUACGGCCCAGACUCCUACGGGAGGCAGCAGUGGGGAAUAUUGCACAAUAGGCGGAAGCCUGAUGCAGCAACGCCGCGUGCGGGAUGACGGCCUUCGGGUUGUAAACCGCUUUCGCCUGUGACGAAGCGUGAGUGACGGUAAUGGGUAAAGAAGCACCGGCUAACUACGUG
rnacentral:rRNA from 1 species